rnacentral:rRNA from 1 species
GAUGAACGCUAGCGGCAGGCUUAAUACAUGCAAGUCGAGGGGUAGCAAGAUUAUAGCAAUACAAUUGUUGACGACCGGCAAACGGGUGCGGAACACGUACACAACCUUCCUACAAGUGGGGAAUAGCCCAGAGAAAUUUGGAUUAAUACCCCGUAACAUAGCGAUGUGGCAUCACAUUGCUAUUAUAGCUUCGGCGCUUGUUGAUGGGUGUGCAGGCUGAUUAGAUAGUUGGCGGGGUAACGGCCCACCAAGUCUACGAUCAGUAGCUGAUGUGAGGGCGUGAUCAGCCACACUGGCACUGAGAAACGGGCCCGACUCCGACGGGAGGCAGCAGUAAGGAAUAUUGGACAGUGGACGCAAGUCUGAUCCAGCCAUGCCGCGUGAAGGAUUAAGGUCCUCUGGAUUGUAAACUUCUUUUAUAAGGGACGAAAAAAGGUCUUUCUAGAUCGUCUGACGGUACCUUAUGAAUAAGCACCGGCUAACUCCGUGCCAGCAGCCGCCGUAACAC